rnacentral:lncRNA from 1 species
CACACAGAGGAAAGGCCAUGUGAGGACACAGCAAGAAGGCGGCCAUCUGCAAGCCAAGAAGAGAGUCCUCACCAGGAACCAACUCUGCUGACACCUUGCUGUUGGACUUCCAGCCUCUAUAAAUGUUCACAAGCACACCACUGUUUACACCCAUCUAGAAGGCCCCUCCCAGCUGACAUCUUUCUGCCUACCUUUCAGGAAGACAGACGAAACUCUCUGCCUUCAGGUGGGGCAAGACUGCUGAUGGCUGGAACAGGAGCUUGGCACCUCCACCCUGACCCAGACACAAGCCUGUCUGUCCCACUCAAAUCGAGCUGGCCAGAGACUACAACUGUGUUGGUUCCCAAGACAUAGAAAAGCCAGAAGAGGUCGGGCGCAGUGGCUCACGCCUGUCAGCACUUUGGGAAGCCGAGGCAGGCAGAUUACCUAAGGUCAAGAGUUCAAGACCAAUCUG